CCUACGGGAGGCAGCAGUAGGGAAUCUUUCACAAUGGGCGAAAGCCUGAUGGAGCAACGCCGCGUGCAGGAUGAAGGCCUUCGGGUUGUAAACUGCUUUUAUAAGCGAGAAAUAUGAUGGUAACUUAUGAAUAAGGAUCGGCUAACUACGUGCCAGCAGCCGCGGUCAUACGUAGGAUCCGAGCAUUAUCCGGAGUGACUGGGUGUAAAGAGUUGCGUAGGUGGCAUAAUAAGUAGCUAGUGAAAUCUGGUGGCUCAACCAUUCAGACUAUUAGCUAAACUGUUAAGCUCGAGACCGUUAGGGGUAACUGUAAUUUCUAGUGUAGGAGUGAAAUCCGUAGAUAUUAGAAGGAACACCAAUAGCGUAGGCAGGUUGCUGGGACGGUUCUGACACUAAGGCACGAAAGCGUAGGGAGCAAACGGGAUUAGAUACCCGAGUAGUC
rnacentral:rRNA from 1 species